UAGAAACUUAGGUUACCUAAACCGAA
rnacentral:tRNA from 1 species